rnacentral:rRNA from 1 species
GAUGAGUGCUAGGUGUUAGGGGUUCGAACCCUUAGUGCCGAAGUUAACACAUUAAGCACUCCGCCUGGGGAGUACGGCCGCAAGGCUGAAACUCAAAGGAAUUGACGGGGGCCCGCACAAGCAGUGGAGCAUGUGGUUUAAUUCGAAGCAACGCGAAGAACCUUACCAGGUCUUGACAUCCUCUGAACACUCAGGAGACUGGGUUUUCCCUUCGGGGACAGAGUGACAGGUGGUGCAUGGUUGUCGUCAGCUCGUGUCGUGAGAUGUUGGGUUAAGUCCCGCAACGAGCGCAACCCCUGAUCUUAGUUGCCAGCAUUCAGUUGGGCACUCUAAGGUGACUGCCGGUGAUAAACCGGAGGAAGGUGGGGAUGACGUCAAAUCAUCAUGCCCCUUAUGACCUGGGCUACACACGUGCUACAAUGGAUGGUACAAUGGGUUGCGAAGCCGCGAGGUGAAGCCAAUCCCAUAAAGCCAUUCUCAGUUCGGAUUGCAGGCUGCAACUCGCCUGCAUGAAGCCGGAAUUGCUAGUAAUCGCGGAUCAGAUGCCGCGGUGAAUACGUUCCCGGGCCUUGUACACACCGCCCGUCACACCACGAGAGUUUGUAACACCCGAAGUCGGUGAGGUAACCUUUUGGAGCCAGCCGCCGAAGGUGGGACAGAUGAUUGGGGUG